rnacentral:rRNA from 1 species
CAGUAGCCGCGGGAAUACGUAGGGUGCAAGCGUUAAUCGGAAUUACUGGGCGUAAAGCGUGCGCAGGCGGUUCUAUAAGACAGAUGUGAAAUCCCCGGGCUCAACCUGGGAACUGCAUUUGUGACUGUAGAGCUGGAGUACGGCAGAGGGGGAUGGAAUUCCGCGUGUAGCAGUGAAAUGCGUAGAUAUGCGGAGGAACACCGAUGGCGAAGGCAAUCCCCUGGGCCUGUACUGACGCUCAUGCACGAAAGCGUGGGGAGCAAACAGGAUUAGAUACCCCCGUAGUCCCUGUCUCUUAUAC